rnacentral:lncRNA from 1 species
GGAGGGCAUACUAACUUAAACUUUGUGAGGGAUCGUUCUACUUCUAACAUCACAGCAUGCAAAAAGUAAAACGUAAACAGAAUAGCAUUCACACAGCUGUGACACAGUAUGGUCCGUUUUCAUAUGGUGAUCUCCAUCUCCAUAGAACCUGUUCACCAUGGUGAUCUCCAUCUCCAUGUUCCAUGUGCGCCAUCCUCUUGGUGAUGAGUCCUCCAAGAACUAUAACAUGCUAUGACGCCUAAUAGCUAGUAAUGAAGAUUACAUAGUUG